CCCACCUCCAAACUGCUGUGUCAGAUGUGCCUUCAAAUUGCAGGUCGUUACUCUGUCCCAGUUGUCCAAGGACCAGCAUCACCAGUGUUUAAAGACCAUGAGGUCAGUUUCACCUGCAAGUCUACUGGGGGAUUCCCUGAGCCAAAGGUCCAGUGGUCUGUGAAUAAGGAGCUGCUUCAGAACUCAAGACGAGUGAGCACAACACUGAGCCGCGACAGCAGAGGUCUGUACAAUGUGACCAGCGUCCUGACUGUGAAUGUGACAGGAGACGUGUCUGUGACCUGCACUGUCGAGAAUGACAGACUGAGGGAGAAGAGGACAUCAGCUGAAAUUCAGUAUCUGAUUAAAGCUGAGAAAGAGUCAAACGGAGUGAGCGGAGGCACAAGGUGAUACUGGUGUUAGUGGCAGUGCUGGUUGUGCUGGUGGGGCUGCUGAUUGUAGUGAUUGUGAUGUUAAAGAGGAUGAAGAGGAAACGUCAUAGAGAACCUGUAACAAGCAAAGACCAGGAAUCUAAAGCUCCACUACAGCAAACACCAAACAAGGACAACCCUGAAGCUUAGCAGCUCUGAGAAUGUGAAAGAAGAUUAACUUGUGCUGAGACUACAGUGUUGGCAUUGAGGAGUUUCAAAUGAGCGCCUGAGGAACACACAAGUGAAUCUGAAGCACUUUGUCUUCAUUUGGACAAAUUUGAAUUUGCACUGAACAAGUUGACUGGAAGAUGAAUGAGUUGACAGUUUUUAAUGAAUGAACUUAAAUGUCAAGAAUGUUCUUCACUGUUCUCCAUUCCAGACGGCUAUGAGUGUUAAAAGAUGGAGCACUGAAGCUCCUGACUGAUCCCAGCACCUAAAUGACACACAAAUUGAUGUGACGCCACUACUAAGACAUGAGGAAGAAGCUUUGUGUCCUUGAAAAAUGGACCUAAAAAUGAGAACAUUUGCCCGUAUUUCCAUUUAUCAUUUAUUCGAUUCGCAGAUGCUUUUAUCCAAAGAGACUUACUGUACCAGUGAGGUUACACAUCAGUUAGGGUCUGUUUUUAAACUAGUGGUACAAGCCUAGGACACAGAAAUUGACCAAAACGAGUGAAAAGUCCUCCAGAGCAGUGAUCUUCAAAGUGUGUUCGGCAAGAUGACAGUCAUCAGGGCCAAGGGACUUUCAAAUUAGUCAGAUGCGUCAGUCUGUUAUGUACUUAAGUAGACAUUUAUUUAUAACAAUCAAGGCUGCUAUCUGACAUCAGUAGACUUGCAUACAUCAGAAAUGGCUCCAAAACUACCACCAUGGAGUGCAGCGUCUCGCCUUCUUGUAGAUGGUAACGAGUUUUGCUUCAUUUCGUGGCCUUCCUGCUCCAGGCUUGUUUGUGUGUUGUGGUUGCCCCUUUCACUCUCAUGGUCUCU